rnacentral:rRNA from 1 species
AUUGAACGCUGGCGGCAUGCUUUACACAUGCAAGUCGAACGGCAGCACGGGAGCUUGCUCCUGGUGGCGAGUGGCGAACGGGUGAGUAAUGCAUCGGAACGUACCCAGUAGUGGGGGAUAGCCCGGCGAAAGCCGGAUUAAUACCGCAUACGACCUAUGGGUGAAAGCGGGGGAUCGCAAGACCUCGCGCUAUUGGAGCGGCCGAUGUCAGAUUAGGUAGUUGGUGAGGUAAAGGCUCACCAAGCCUUCGAUCUGUAGCUGGUCUGAGAGGACGACCAGCCACACUGGGACUGAGACACGGCCCAGACUCCUACGGGAGGCAGCAGUGGGGAAUUUUGGACAAUGGGCGCAAGCCUGAUCCAGCCAUGCCGCGUGCGGGAAGAAGGCCU